UACGUAGGGGGCUAGCGUUGUCCGGAAUCAUUGGGCGUAAAGCGCGUGUAGGCGGCUCGAUAAGUCUGCUGUGAAAGUCCAGGGCUCAACCCUGGAAAGCCGGUGGAAACUGUCAAGCUUGAGUCCGGAAGAGGCGAGUGGAAUUCCUGGUGUAGCGGUGAAAUGCGCAGAUAUCAGGAGGAACACCAAUGGCGAAGGCAGCUCGCUGGGACGGUACUGACGCUGAGACGCGAAAGCGUGGGGAGCAAACAGG
rnacentral:rRNA from 1 species